UACGGAGGGUGCAAGCGUUAAUCGGAAUUACUGGGCGUAAAGCGCACGCAGGUGGCUGAGUCAGUCGAUUGUGAAAGCCCUGGGCUUAACCUAGGAAUUGCAGUCGAUACUACUCAGCUAGAGUAUGGGAGAGGGCAGUGGAAUUCCCGGUGUAGCGGCGAAAUGCGUAGAUAUCGGGAGGAACAUCAGUGGCGAAGGCGGCUGCCUGGCCCAAUACUGACACUCAGGUGCGACAGCGUGGGGAGCAAACAGG
rnacentral:rRNA from 1 species